UACUUACAGAAUACAUACAUGCUUGCGCGCACUUCAUUUCAUCCACCACCGCCGUCUCCGCCUCCCACAUGCGAAUUGGCCUUCGCUUCUGCUAUAUCUCCGUGAUCGCCGCAGCAACCAACCUCCGCAACACCCUAGGCCGCCGCCCCCAGACUGACGCCGUUUUUGGGGGCCUGCUGCCCCCUGACAUCUGUUAUUUUCGCUAGGGUUCUUCUGAUUGUUCCGUCGUCAAUUGCUUGCUCAACUAUAGGGGCGAAAUAAGUUGGAAUUGGAGGGUCAUGGCUCCGGGGCGCAGGCGCGGAGCCAAGGGGGUUAAGUCGAAGAACGACUUGGGUUUGGGCGAUCUCGUCCUCGCCAAAGUUAAGGGUUUCCCCGCUUGGCCUGCCAAGAUCAGCCGACCUGAAGACUGGCAGCGUGCUCCCGAUCCUAAAAAGUGCUUUGUCCAGUUCUUUGGUACAGCAGAAAUAGCUUUUGUUGCUCCUGUGGAUAUUCAAGUAUUCACCAAUGAAGCGAAAAAUAAAUUGUCAGCUCGAUGCCAGGGUAAGACUGUUAAAUACUUUGCCCAAGCGGUGAAGGAAAUAUGUGAAGAAUUUGAAGAGUUGCAGCGAAAAAGAAGUGAUGUUGGAGAUGAUAACAGUAUACAAACUCAUCCACCUGAGGCACAUUCUGUUGAUCCAAUGGUAGAAGAGGCAUUGGAUAUUAAUCAAAACAAUGGGAUUGCGCCAGAAUGCAAGUUGGAGACUAAAGAGUAUGAUGAUCCGGGCUCUGGCUUAGAGCAUUGUCUGCACAAGCAAGAUGCGGUGGAAUGUCAAGAUGUAAAGCCUUAUUUGUCCGACGACAUGAAUUGUAGGUGGUCCCCUCCUGUAUCUUUGCGGGAGAGCAAUAAGAUCUCUUCAAACAACAAUGCUUCAAAGGAUUCACUAUCUGUUUCUAGCCCUUCACACCAUUUUCUUAAGAAGGAAGAUCCUCUUGAUAAAAGUGUAAAAGGCAGAUCAACUGAUGGUAGCCAGAAUAAAUUGACAAAUGGACACAGACCAAAGCUGGCUAUGGGGUCAAAGAAAAAAUCUCCGGGUGCAGUACAUAGAAGUGGUGGAUCGGCUGUUUCUCAUGAUCAUAAAGGAGAUGCGAUGAGAAGAAAAUUUGUUUCAGGUGAGGGCAUGAAACUUUCAUCACCUGAUAUCCCAAAAUUACGAUCAGAUAUUAUUAGUCAGAAGAAGGAAAAGCUGUUGGUGAAAGAAAAAAGGCAAUCUGAGGCAUUACAUGAUGGUCAACAGGAUGCUAAAGUAAAUUUUGAGUCACAUAGUGAUACUAUUACCUGGAAAAAGAUUAAGUUCCAGCAUGGCAAUGAAAAGAAAGGGUCUCAUACAAAUGAAGUAUCAUCUCCUACCAAAAUCUCAAAAAUUGCUGAUUCUAGAGGUCUUAAUGUUCUUGUUGACAAAAUGCCUAGCAAAGAGCCUAAAAGGUUUACAUCAGUCGGGAAGGCUGAGGUCUUCCAGUCCAUUAGACCUCCAAUUAUUAGUAACUCUGAAUCUGACAACGAUCUCCCCCCAAUAAAGCGCCAUCGCCCGGAACCAGAAACAAUGUGUGCAUCUGCCUUGAUAUCUGAAAAUAGAUUGGAAACUUUUGUGUCAGACAAGACUGACAAAGUACUUUCUAGCGAAGUCAUAUCUCCAGUUGUGCAGUUACCGAUGAAACGUAGAUCUGUCUGCAUAUAUGAUGAUGAUGAUGAUGAUGAGUUGCCUAAAACUCCAGUUCACGGAGGAACUACUAGUAAGGUGUCUGUACCACGCCUAUCAGAUACAAAAAGGAAAUCUGUAACACAUGGUGAGAAAUUUGUCCAUGAUCUCCAGGUUUUAAGAAAUUCAGGAGAAGUUGAAAAUGGGUUAAAAGAUCAGGUACAGUAUAAUGGAGUUAUGAAGAAGCUGCUAUCUCCAGCUGCUCAACAGGUUACAGAGAAGAGGACGCGAGAUUCAUCAGCACAUGUAUCUCCUAGUCCACAGCAGAUGAACUCUGAGAAAUCAGCCCCAAUGGAGGUUAAACCAGUUUCAGUUUCUCCUAAAAGGCCCCCCCAGUCUGUUGGUGGUGGGAGAGUGUCAGGAGAACUGGAAAGCAAGCAACCCAACAAGGCACCUAGUAGUGAUUUUAGGCAAAAAACUCCAGCAGGAGACAACAAGAAUGCAGCAUCGUCUGAUAGGUCAAACUUAUUUCCUAAUCAAUUGCUAAGUGAAAGAAGCAAGCAACCUUCUUCUGGAGAGAGAAAGAAAACUACUCCGAAAUCAGGUUCCCGGAUCAAUGACUCUGUGGUUGGGGCUUCAAAGGAAAACAUCACGUCAAUUAAGGAAAGGCUGAAUGCGAGCAAAGACCACAAAACAGGUCACACAGUUGACUCAAAAACAUCAGACUCCGUCAUGUCAAUGAAAAAUCUUAUUGCUGCUGCUCAGGCGAGAAAGAAACAGACGCACUUUCAAAAUACCAAUGGAAACCCUUUUCUUUUUUCUAUUUCUGACAUUGAGAUGGCUGGACGGGGACCAAGUCCUGCGCCUGCUGCUUUGGUGUAUGAAGCAAGGAAUACACUCCAACUGGAUAUUUUAGGAGGUCAUCCGAUUUCUCCUUCUGCCAAUCUCCAUCAAGUCCAAUCUAGUCAUCAACAUGAGAAUGAUGAGCUUGAGGAGAGGAGGGUAAGCUCUGGUCAUCCAGGCACUGGGAGCUCUCUAAGUGGGGGUACUGAGGCAGCUGUUGCUCGUGAUACCUUUGAAGGGAUGAUAGAGACACUGUCAAGGACCAAAGAGAGUAUUGCACGUGCAACUAGACUGGCAAUUGAUUGUGCAAAGUAUGGACUCGCCAAUGAGGUUGUGGAACUUCUUAUACAGAAGUUAGAAAAUGAGCCAAGUUUACAUCGCCGAGUGGAUCUGUUUUUCCUUGUUGACUCAAUAACCCAAUGCUCUCACACCCAGAGAGGGGCCUCAUACGUCUCUACUGUUCAAGCUGCGUUGCCCCGCCUCGUUGGAGCUGCUGCUCCUGCUGGUGCUGGUGCUCAGGAAAAUCGACGUCAGUGUCGGAAGGUCUUGCGAUUGUGGCUCGAGAGGAAAAUCUUGCCAGAAUCCAUUCUUCGUCGCUACAUGGAUGACUUUGGAGUGGUAAAUGAUGAUACAUCAAUCCCACUAAGACGUCCUUCCCGAGCUGAACGAUCUAUUGAUGAUCCUAUUAGAGAAAUGGAAGGCAUGGUUGUUGAUGAAUAUGGAAGCAAUGCUAUGUUUCAGUUACCUGGAUUUCUGUCAGCAAGUGUGUUCGAAGAAGAGGAAGAUGAGGAUGCUUCUGAUACGAGUUUACGCCUGAAAGAUGAUGGUGCAUCACCUUCCAAGGAUGCACCUGCUACAGGCAGAGAUCAUGAGAACCAUUCUGUUACUCCUAGUGAUAGGCGCCAUUGCAUAUUGGAGGAAGUUGAUGGUGAGCUUGAAAUGGAAGAUGUUUCUGGACACCAAAAGGAUGAGAGAACAACGAUGACUAAUGACACUAUUGAGCUCGCUUCAUUGGAGCUCAAACCAGAUAGUGGCCGUGAAUCUUCUUCAAACACCUCCACCGAGUGGCUUCCUUCUCCAGAGGGGUCUCCUCCAUUACCACCUGGAUCUCCACCUAUGACUCCACUGUUGCCAUCUUCACCACCUCCAUCAUCACCACCUCCACCUCCACCUGCACUUCCAUAUUCUCCCCCACCUCCACCUCCACCACCCACCAUAGUCCAACAUCCUUUUCCACAACCACCUGCUGAACUACCUCAGCCACCUGUUGAUUCACCUCAGCCACCUGUUGGUCCUGCACCACAAGCUGGUCCAACUCCACCUGUUGGACCUUCACUAAGACCUGCUGAUCCUUCUCCUAUUGGCCCUCCACUGAGACCUGCCGGUCCUUCUCCACCAGUUGGACCUCCCCCACAUCUUCAUCCUCCACCACCUCUUGGACCUCAUCCUCCACCUUUUGGUCCUCCGCCCCAUCUGGGUCCUGUGCCACUAAUUUCCCAGCAAAUAUUUCCGUCUCAGCCUCCACUGGUUUCCCACAACAAGACUCCACUUCCAUCACUGCCACUUUCUCCACGAUCAUCUUAUCGACCUCAUCCUUUACCACGUGAAGUUAGUGCCACACCCACUGGAAAUCAACAGACCAAUAUGGUUUCUACUAUUCAUGGGUCUCAUAUGGAUGCAUCUGUUAGAGGGGAAGUACCACCACAACAAUCAUCUUGUUUUCCUCCUUCUGGGAUCAGCAAUGCACGAGAACAUGCAGGCUAUAAUUCGUCUAGGCAUGUGGAAUAUGGAGAGGAUGAUACUUAUAUGAAUCCCCAAGCUUCACAGCAUAGGCAGCAGUAUCCGCCUGGUAGUGUGCCUUUCGCACAAAGGCCUGUGCAUCCUGAACUCCCAUCUCAACGACCACCUAACCAUUUCCCCUAUCCAAACUCAGCUCAACAACCUCAGUACCCCUCUUAUUCAUUACCAAACUUUGCCGAUAAUCCAAGGAGAUAUAUAGCUGAUGAGCAAUGGCGGAAGCAAGGAAAUGACUUCAUUGUGGAUCAUCCCCGUGGUGGGUGGAUGCCAGGAGGAAGGUCAUGUUCUGGUCCAUCUUAUUCCCAAGAAGGUUACCAUGAAAGGCCUCCUUCUAGUACCAUAAAUUAUCAGCACUCUGCCCCAAAUAGUCUACCUUCGUCUGGUCAAAUGCCAGUUCAUGGUGUUCCCAUGAUGCUGCCUAGACCGAACAUGUCUUCCGUCAACUGGAGGCCAGCAUAGACUUAUUCCGACUCAAAUUUUGUGUACCCAUGCAGACUAUCGUGUCGUUUGAAGUCUGGCAAAUGGAAGUAUGUUUAAAUUGAUUGAAAUCCAACAGCACAGAAAGAUGCAUGCAUCAUCCUGGAAAAUUCUCGAAUGGGCAAAGGAUAGAGAACUAUUGUUGCUGGAAUUUUUCAGGUUAUGCAUUUGCGAGGAGUAUGGACUUUAAUAUGCUCCAACAGAGAGGUUGCUUUCGAUCAGGAUAGAAUUGAAUUGGUGGGAAGUUGUUGGAAACCUUCUCGGGAUUUUAUACUAGAAAAUUGCCUGACAAAAAGCAUUCGAGGGUGCACAACUAAUCUGUAAGCCCUUUUUUGCUUGCUAUACCAAUGCUUGUAAUUAUACAAUACAUCUCAUGAAGUAAGUUAGUGGCUAGUACAGUUAAAAAAAAGCCUGCUAAUUCUGUCAUUUUUUCCAACAACUGCAUUUCUAAUCUCUUUCAUGGAGAUCUUAAGUGCAUCAGUGCAUGUAUUCAUUGUUUUUGAUGUACAUGUGCAUUCCAAGUAGAUCACAUCCAACAUUCACUUUGUAAAUAUUACAUAUCAUGUCUUUGUUGCAUACUACAUCUAUUUGACACAAGUUUUAUGACAUGAGCAUUCUUUUAGUCGCAUUCUUAUUGGUCUCCGCCUCUGUCUUUGGAUGCGCUUCAAACUUCUUUCUUUCAUAGAUAUAAUAGAUUAAGAUUCAAACUCAUCUGUGAUCUUCGAUUUUGCUGGAUAUGCUUUCUGCAAUGCAUCUUGUACAUGAAUAGUAGAUCGAUAUAAUCAUUCUGUUAUCAUUU